UGGGGAAUUUUGGACAAUGGGCGAAAGCCUGAUCCAGCAAUGCCGCGUGUGUGAAGAAGGCCUUCGGGUUGUAAAGCACUUUUGUCCGGAAAGAAAUCCUUGGCUCUAAUACAGUCGGGGGAUGACGGUACCGGAAGAAUAAGCACCGGCUAACUACGUGCCAGCAGCCGCGGUAAUACGUAGGGUGCAAGCGUUAAUCGGAAUUACUGGGCGUAAAGCGUGCGCAGGCGGUUUGCUAAGACCGAUGUGAAAUCCCCGGGCUCAACCUGGGAACUGCAUUGGUGACUGGCAGGCUAGAGUAUGGCAGAGGGGGGUAGAAUUCCACGUGUAGCAGUGAAAUGCGUAGAGAUGUGGAGGAAUACCGAUGGCGAAGGCAGCCCCCUGGGCCAAUACUGACGCUCAUGCACGAAAGCGUGGGGAGCAAAACAGGAUUNGAUACCCUGGUAGUCCACGCCCUAAACGAUGUCAACUAGUUGUUGGGGAUUCAUUUCCUUAGUAACGUAGCUAACGCGUGAAGUUGACCGCCUGGGGAGUACGGUCGCAAGAUUAAAACUCAAAGGAAUUG
rnacentral:rRNA from 1 species